CGGGCCCUCCGAUAUCUAAAUCAGAUCCAGCUUUGGAAUAAUAGUAAUACGUGAUUAGAGUCGUAUUAUCCUGUUCUAGUUAGUUUGCUUCACCUGCCUCCGGAAGCUCGGCUUUGAAAUGUUGUCCUUUAGAGGUCAGCUUUUAAGAGGUCGGCUUUGGGAGCUUGGUCAUUAGGAGAUCGGCUUCGGAAGCUCGCCUUC
rnacentral:lncRNA from 1 species